rnacentral:misc_RNA from 1 species
GAUGAAGAACGCAGCGAAAUGCGAUACUUGGUGUGAAUUGCAGAAUCCAGUGAACCAUCGAGUCUUUGAACGCAAGUUGCGCCCGAAGCCAUUAGGCCGAGGGCACGCCUGCCUGGGCGUCACACGUCGUUGCCCCCCCAUCUACUCCUUCGGGAUUGCGGGGGGCGGAUGAUGGCCUCCCGUGCGCCUCGUCGCGCGGUUGGCAUAAAUGCCAAGUCCUCGGCGACGCACGCCACGACAAUCGGUGGUUGCGAAACCUCGGUUGCCCGUCGUGUGCGGUCGUCGCGCAUCGAGGGCUCGAAAAAAUUGCCGGGCUCCGGCUCGGCUUUCAACGCGACCCCAGGUCAGGCGGGGUUACCCGCUGAAUUUAAGCAUAUCAAUAGCGGAGGA